rnacentral:rRNA from 1 species
AACGAACGCUGGCGGCAGGCCUAACACAUGCAAGUCGAGCGAGGACUUCGGUUCUAGCGGCGGACGGGUGAGUAACGCGUGGGAAUGUGCCCUUCUCUACGGAAUAGCCCUGGGAAACUGGGAGUAAUACCGUAUACGCCCUUUUGGGGAAAGAUUUAUCGGAGAAGGAUCAGCCCGCGUUGGAUUAGGUAGUUGGUGAGGUAAUGGCCUACCAAGCCGACGAUCCAUAGCUGGUUUGAGAGGAUGAUCAGCCACACUGGGACUGAGACACGGCCCAGACUCCUACGGGAAGCAGCAGUGGGGAAUCUUAGACAAUGGGGGCAACCCUGAUCUAGCCAUGCCGCGUGAGUGAUGAAGGCCUUAGGGUUGUAAAGCUCUUUCAGCUGGGAAGAUAAUGACGGUACCAGCAGAAGAAGCCCCGGCUAACUCCGUG